UAAACUCUGAGCAUGUCAUCACAAUUUUGCCAAAAAUAGGCACACAGUAUUGUAAGAUCAUAAAUCAUGAUAUUAGGAUUGUCAUGAAUUAUGCACAUCGAGGAGAUACAAGAACAGAGAAUAUUUCACCAGAGUGUCAAGGUGAACAUAACAGAUGAAAAAAUGUGUCGUGUUUGUAAAAAGAGAAUUGGAGAUAGUGCCUUUGCCAGAUAUCCGAAUGGAGUAAUUGUAC